GGUUUCGUAGUCGAGUGGUAUGAACACUUGCCUUUCACCCUGAGUCCCGGGUUCGAUCCCCGGUCGAGGGGAUCG
rnacentral:tRNA from 1 species